GACGAACGCUGGCGGCGUGCUUAACACAUGCAAGUCGAACGGAAAGGCCCUGCUUUUGUGGGGUGCUCGAGUGGCGAACGGGUGAGUAACACGUGAGUAACCUGCCCCUGACUUCGGGAUAACUUCAGGAAACUGGGGCUAAUACCGGAUAGGAGCUCCUGCUGCAUGGUGGGGGUUGGAAAGUUUCGGCGGUUGGGGAUGGACUCGCGGCUUAUCAGCUUGUUGGUGGGGUAGUGGCUUACCAGGGCCUUGACGGGUAGCCGGCCUGAGAGGGUGACCGGCCACAUUGGGACGGAGAUACGGCCCAGACUCCUACGGGAGGCAGCAGUGGGGGUUAUUGCACAAUGGGCGGAAGCCUGAUGCAGCAACGCCGCGUGCGGGAUGACGGCCUUCGGGUUGUAAACCGCUUUCGCCUGUGACGAAGCGUGAGUGACGGUAAUGGGUAAAGAAGCACCGGCUAACUACGUG
rnacentral:rRNA from 1 species